CACAGGCAGGGAUUGGGGGCUGAGUCUGAGUAAAGUUAUCCAUGGGGCCAUGAAGAAGGAAGGGAAGCGGAGACUCUGGGAGGCUGACAUCAUCCCUUCCCCGUCAUUUGCAUGAGGCUGCUACUUCCUGCCACUUUCUGUGCCUGGUGAAUGAAGAGAUCAGGAAUUCAAUAGACUGCAAAGAACGGCCUGCAGCAAGGGCCAAGGGCACUUGCUAUUGACUCUGUGAACACAACCUUCCCCAUGAAGACCCACCUUCACAAAGCAAGAAAGAAAGGAAAUUCACACAGUGCAGAAAGCCCUUCCCUCAGGAUCUGCAUGACCCUGGUGGACAAGCGACACACCCAGCUCAGGAAAAGAGCGGCUCUGCAGCCAUCUAUACCCAGACAACAAAACCCACACAGCUCUUGCCAGAGGGGCCAUGUGACUGUGGCCCUUGGACACGGAGACAAUACCGGGACAGAGAGAAGACAAAGGGCCAGCGGAGGCUUGCCUGAGGACCGGCUGCUAUUGCCAUAGGGCUGUGGCCACUGGAUCCCAAAGAGAAAUGGGCCAAAGGCAACUGGAUUGGUGAAAACACCGUCUUUAUCAUUGUUUCAAUGCUCUGAAAAGUCAUCCCAUCACGACAGAGAUUUCUCAGUGCGGAGGAAAAUUUCCAUUUGAAAUCCUUUUUUUCUGCUUACCAGACAUUUGAUUUCCUGAGCCCUCCCAGCCAAACAAAUGAGAACUGCGCACAGUGGGUUGGAGGACGGUGGCCAUGAUCUCACCCAAGUCUCUGAAGCUUUCACUCCACUGUGCCUGAGGCCUAAGGAGAAGGCCUGGGCUGUAGCAUCGUUAGUGAUUUGGGUCCUGUUGCCUGCUGCUCACUGGUAGUGAGACCUGGGGCCAGUUUUGCAGGCUCCUCUUUGAGCCUCAGAUUUUCACACGUUAACAUGGAGCACGCUAGUUAGCUGAAAAGCUACUGUAAGACACAGAAAUGAGGGCUGGCUAGUGGCUCAGUGGGUAAAGGCACUUGCUGCUCAACCUGAGGACCUGAGUUCCAUUCCUGAGCCCCACACAGUGGAAGAGAACCCUCUCUUGCAAUUUGUCUUCUGACUCCCACAUGCAACAUAUAUAAAAGAAAUCAAUGUUGAAAAAGAAAAGAGGAGUUGGCAGCAAAGCCCGACUGGGCACACUGUAAGUUCCCAUGGACAGGCAGCUAACAUGGCUCCCUGUGCCAGGGAGGCUGUGGUCGGUAAGCGGACUUGGUCUAGAUGGAAACAGCUCAGUCUGGGUUGGGAGGCCACAGCUUACAGGGAGCUCUGUGAGCUUGGGCAGUUCACUCUCCUCGAGUCUCAGGCUGCCCAUCAGGAUUAAGGUUUUCUGUGCCCACCAAUGCUGAUGGCUAUCAGAGCUGGAUAUGACAGGGACGGAGAGGGCACUGCUCCCUGGUGAAGGUUCUGGUCCAUCACCACACUCCAUCCCCUGAAAUGCAUAUGGCAGAACGGGCCACUGUGUAAGGUGGUGUGGGGUGCGGGCUACAGAACAGAAAGCCUCAGCUUCGCGCUUUCAGUUCACCAAUUCUAUAGGUUAGAUUCCCUAAUCUGUCACAAGGGUAGCAAUGUCUUCCUCACAGGAAGCUAAGAGGGGAACACAGAAAUGUGCACUGUCCAGUCUGUUUCAUGCCCAUCGUGGGAUGAAAUGUGUUUUCUCUGUAUUCCACGAGGGACCUCAAAUGGACGAUCCUUGCGAUUUCCCUAUGUUUGUUUAAGGUGGGAUGAAGGGACUUCAGAUCCAUUCUGACUCAUGAUGGCAUUGCCCGCAAGCACAAUUUUGCGAUCUGCUUUUAGCCAAUUCUUAGUGCCAUCUGCUUGUCACUUUCCCUUCUAAAAAGAUCCCGCCCUAAAACCACAAGCCAUAUGACCAGGAGAGUGCCACCGUUAUCUCGGGCAUCUCGGGUUCCAAAGAUUUUCUAUUAGCACAGCCCCAACUGGGACACUAGUAACAUCUUUAUAACACGUUUCUUUAUCUUGGUAAGGGUCUGAUGGGGGAGCACACGUGGCCUGGCACAUAUGUGUAGAUCAGAACACAAUUUGCAGAGUGGGUUGUCUCCUUCCUCCACGUGAGUCCCAGGGACAGAAUCCAUGUGGUUCAGCAGGCCCGGCAACAAGCGCUUUGACCCUCUUGAGCCAUCUCACUGGCUCUUAGCAAGCCGUUUGUUUGUUUUUUAGACAGAAUCUCACUACGUAGCCCAGAUUAGCGCAGAACUCACGAUGCACGUGAGAUCCUAUCUUAAAAAACAAACAAAACAAAAAACACUACCAGACUGCAUUCCCUCCGUCCUAUUAAACCUCUAAACUAAAUAUAAGAUGCUAAUUAUAGUUAACUAAUUAAUCAUAACUUAGUUUUUAAAACAAUUUUUAAAUCUUAGUUUUCCUGCUUUAUAAGAGAAACUGUUUGCCCCAGCUCUGUGACCUUGGCACAUUUGAUGAGCAGGUCUGACAAGAGUAAGCAUGCUUCCUCAGCGACAGAUCUGCCUGCCUGCUGACGCCCAGUGGCGCUGCACCACACAUCUCAUGCAGAGAUCUACAGAAUUCACCCCCACAUUGUUUUUCCACUGACGGCUGCCCACCACCCGCCCUCUUCAGAAAGGCCUGCUUUGUUGUCCUUACAUUUACUUGCCAUUUAAUUUGGGCACGGGGUAUGUAUGCCACGGUACACGUGUGGCAGUCUGAGGACAACUUGUGGGAGCCAGUUCUCUCCUUCCACUAUGUGGGUUCCAGGGAUCAAAGUCGGGUCAUCACCAGACUUGGCAGCAAGCCUGCGACAUUUCACCAGCCCCAACUGCUGUCUCUUUAAACCCCAUGAGUUCAACAAGACUUUUGUUUUUUUCUUAAUUCACCUUGACUAAGAAAUUACUAUCAUCUACCUAAACAAUACAAAUAUAACUUUUGACAUUAUUCAAGUUUUAUUUAAAAGAGUCUCUUCAAUGGUUGAAGAAACACUUGAUACAUCUUUAUACUGACAUUAUUUAUUGCUGAAGGUAGGGUUAUCGCCAUUUCUAUUUGGUCCAUAGAAACUUAAGUGCCCUAUUUGCAUGAACAGGAAGAUGGAGUGGGCAUUAGUCUGUUCUUUAUUGCCCCCUGAGUUAACUGUCAUAAAUAAUCAUUUGUAACGAUGCUCCUGACAAGUUGACCUUUUCAAGUUGGUAAAAGUGAAAUGUAUUUGGAAAAUCUGUCUGGGAGAAGGAUUUGCUUCCUUAUUAUUAGUCUCACCUUCCAGACUAUAUUUUGAACUGCCUCCUUUGGUGGUCAGACACCACUGUAGUAGGGUUGGGAAAAGGUGGGACAUUUCCCUGUGUGGUCCUAAGUGGGUGAAGGGCCACCACCGUGGAAAAUAGGGAGGAAGAGAGAAGUGUUGCAGAAUAUAUGUUUAAACUAA